CCCUAUGGGGUGCACCAGGAAGACUUGGGAUUGGCUGAACCCCUGCCCUAUCCAUUUCUGGCACUGGUUGGGCAGGAAGAUAUGAAGCUGGCACUGCUGCUGGCAAUCAUCAAUCCGGCAAUGGGCGGGGUUGCGCUGAUUGGGCCACGCGGCACGGGUAAGACAACAGCAGUUCGCAGCCUGCUCGAUCUGCUGCCAGAUGCCGAGCGCAGCGCCUGCUUUUACGGCUGCCUGCCUGAAGGUAUGGAGGCGGGCGGCAUUGAUGCGGUCUGUCCCAACUGUGCGCAAACGUAUGCCCGGGGAGAAAAACUGACCCGCACAGAACGGGUUCGACUGGUUGAACUCCCUUUGAACGCCCGGCUAGAAGAUGUGAUUGGCGGGAGGGC
rnacentral:rRNA from 1 species